UCGAGUACUUGGAAAAGACAGAGGAUCUUUGACCCUAGAGUGGAGAGCAUCAUAUUACCAUCAUUGAACAUUUAGCUUGGACUGGUCAAAACAUUGGGUUUAAUUUGUCACUCGAAUUUCAGUGCACUCUCACUUUCUUUAUGGAAGGUCUAGGGGAAGGCAACGACGAACACGAAGGUUGAUUUAAGUAGCAAAUCAAUUCUAUGGAGCUUUUGUAUCAGAGAAUUUGAAGUGCAAUCAGUAUGGUUUAUGUGAAAAUAAAACUUGCGUACAAGUCA